UACGGAUUCGACAGGGAUAGUUCGAGCUCAGGCUGCGUGUCGAGGUUACGGCUCGUAAAACGUUACGCCUAAAUAUAACUGGCAAAACUAACAACAACUACUCUCUAGCAGCUGCGUAAGUAGCACUGGAGGAUCCUUGCUGCUAUCGCCCAUGUGGCAGAUUCGAGGGUCUCAAACUUAAGUGGGCUACGCCAUCAUCCUCCGCUUGCGGAUGAUCGGAAGAAGACAAUCAAGCUAGCCUCGCUGAAAGCCUGUCGUUAGGCCGAAGCGUGUGCGAACUAUAA
rnacentral:misc_RNA from 1 species